UUGUUGGGCCUUGGUCAAGGUUGAUUUGACUUUGUUGAGUUAAUAUCAUUGGAUUUAGGGGAUUGAUGGAAUGUAAAUUCCAUCUCCCAAAAUGAAUGAAUAAUAUUAACUUGGUAAAAGUCUUCCUUUGAUCAAUUUGUGUUUUGAUCCAUUAUCCUCCCAUUUCAUCUCAUUCCCCUUCUUCAUUCAUUCAUUCCAUUUGGCCUAUGAUAUCUCAAAAUCCUAAGGCUAGUU
rnacentral:lncRNA from 1 species